rnacentral:rRNA from 1 species
UGAAUACGAGACGCUAAGGCGUCGAAGUAGUGUAUGUCAUACUUCCAAGAAAAGCUUGCACUGUCAUAGAUAGAAAACGCCUGUACCAUAACCGACACAGGUGGGUAGGUAGAGUAUACUAAGGGGCGCGAGAUAACUCUCUCUAAGGAACUCGGCAAAAUAACUCCGUAACUUCGGGAGAAGGAGUGCCUUAUUCGUAAGGUUGCAAUAACAAGAUCCAAGCAACUGUUUAUCAAAAACACAGGUCUCCGCUAAGUCGUAAGACGAUGUAUGGGGGCUGACGCCUGCCCAGUGCCAGAAGGUUAAAGAAGUUGGUUAGCAAUUGCGAAGCUGAUAACUGAAGCCCUGGUGAACGGCGGCCGUAACGAUAACGGUCCUAAGGUAGCGAAAUUCCUUGUCGGGUAAGUUCCGACCCGCACGAAAGGCGUAAUGAUUUGGAUACUGUCUCGGAGAGGGGCUCGGUGAAAUAGACUUGUCUGUGAAGAUGCGGACUACCUGCACCAGGACAGAAAGACCCUAUGAAGCUUUACUGUAACUUGAAAUUGAAAUUGGACUUUAUUCGCGCAGUAUAGGUGGGAGGCGUUGAUUAUAAUCUUGUGGGAUUAUUGGAGCCAUCAGUGAGAUACCACUCUUGUAAUGUUAGAUUUCUAACUUUGAAUCAUUAUCUGGUCAAAGAACAGUUUCAGGCGGGCAGUUUGACUGGGGCGGUCGCCUCCUAAACGGUAACGGAGGCGUACAAAGGUUUCCUCUGAACGGUUAGAAAUCGUAUCUAGAGUGUAAAGGCAUAAGGGAGCUUGACUGUGAGACCUACAAGUCGAGCAGGGACGAAAGUCGGUCUUAGUGAUCUGACGGUACUGAGUGGAAAGGCCGUCACUCAACGGAUAAAAGUUACUCUAAGGAUAACAGGCUGAUCUCCCCCAAGAGUUCACAUCGACGGGGAGGUUUGGCACCUCGAUGUCGGCUCAUCGCAUCCUGGGGCGGUAGUACGUCCCAAGGGUUGGGCUGUUCGCCCAUGAAAGCGGUACGCGAGCUGGGUUCAGAACGUCGUGAGACAGUUCGGUCCAUAUCCGGUGUAGGCGUUAGAAUAUUGAGAGGAGCCUUCUUUAGUACGAGAGGACCGAGAAGGACAUACCUCUGGUGUACCAGUUGUCGUGCCAACGGUAAACGCUGGGUAGCUAUGUAUGGAGUGGAUAACCGCUGAAAGCAUCUAAGUGGGAAGCCCACCUCAAGAUAAGUAUUCUCACC